AUAGCAGCAUUCCAAUUGGUUGGAUACUUCAUUUGGAUUGAAGAGGUUGCUGGUUCGAGUCCAGCCUGCUAUACCA
rnacentral:tRNA from 1 species